CAUUUCCCAUUCCAGACCAUGCAUCUUUGCAAAGCUGGUCUUAUGAAUCAACAUGAAACAUUUACUUUAGGCCCCAGCUUUGAGUAGGAGCAUCAUUUGUGUGUCUGUCCAUCUAACUAGACAGGAGUUGUCCUCUGCCUCUUUCAGUACUCCAGAGUGGGAAGUCGGGUGUUGCACCUCAAAAGUUCCACUCUAAGCUCAUAGUGUACAGAAUUCUUUGAGACAGACCAUCCCUGGAAAGCAAAAAAACAAGAGGGAAUAGCCAUGUCUAUUUUUAUUGAAGCCUUCCAUGGUGUUGUUAUGGUAACUGCAUAUUAUAAGGCAGCAGAGGGAACAGUUUCUGUCUUUUCUUCCUUCCCAGAUCAAGAAAGUCUGUGGAUGCAGGUGGUGAGGAUAAAAAGAAGUCGUCCUUUUUGGAUGUGAAUGGCAGCAUCCCUCUUAACGGCUACACCUGGGGGAGGGGAAUUGAGCCCCAUCUUUGGUGGGGAAAGGAUUCACAUCACAGGUAUGCCCCUCCUGGUUCCCCCGAUCCCAUGUACAGCCAUCUCAAGCUUCGAAGUCCAAAUGUUCCAUACAGUUUCUCAAAAUCAUGCAAAUGGAAGCCUUCAUCACUCUUUGAAACACGACUCUUCUCCCUGAAGGAGCUACAGCCACAAGUCCAACAUCAUGCAAGCCUGCAUGUUCCUGCCAAAGCUGGAGAAAACCAAAUUGUGGAAGCCUACUCAAGAAAGCUGCGUCUCCUGUUGCCUGGCACCCAGCCCCAUCUCCUCCACCUCCAGUUCUGAUUGAUGGAGCUAAGCAUUUUGAACUGCAGGAUGUGCUGGACUCUCGCAUCUAUUUACCUGGACAGAAUGAGUGGGUGUAUGCCAAUGACAUCAAAGCCCCUCAACUCAUUAAAGCUUUUCCUUGUGCCUGU